rnacentral:tRNA from 1 species
GGGGAUGUAGCUCAGUGGCAGAGCGUAUGCUUUCCAUGUAUCAGGUCCUGGGUUCAAUCACCAGUGUCUCCG